GAACUGCCUACCACGGCUAACGAGCUCCACCUGCCCGUGUUUGUUGUUCGGAGUUGUCCCUCUCCUAGGUGAACUGCCUACCACGGCUAACGAGCUCCACCUGCCCGGGUUUGUUGUUCGGAGUUUGCUCUCCUAGGUGAAUUGCCUACCACGGCUAACGAUCUUCACCUUCCCGGGUUUGUGAUCAGAGUUUUCCUUCUCCUAGGUGAACUGCCUUACGCUAACGACCUCCACCUGCCCGGGUUUGUAAUCAGAGUUUGCUCUCCUAGGUGAACUGCCUUACGCUAACGAGCUCCACCAGCCCGGGUUUAUUGUUCGGAGUUUGCUCUCCUAGGUGAAUUGCCUUACGCUAACGAGCUCCACCUGCCCGGGUUUAUUGUUCGGAGUUUGCUCUCCUAGGUGAAUUGCCUUACGCUAACGAGCUCCACCUGCCCG